rnacentral:pre_miRNA from 1 species
GGCUGUGAGUUGGCUUAAUCUCAGCUGGCAACUGUGAGAUGCUCAUGUAAUCCCUCACAGUGGUCUCUGGGAUUAUGCUAAACAGAGCA